CACACAACAUCAUGGCGGUGUACAUGCUGAACACAAACACAGCACACUUUUACCUACGAAGAUAAGCAAUCGGGAUAAUGACAAGCGAUUCAUUUUGCGUUUAAAUAGUCAAGUCAUCUAUGGUAAAGUCAAAUGAGGAACAAGAAAACUGACGACGAAAUAUGCCAAAUCCAAGAAAGCAUGACCAUAACACUGGCUCAAAUGACAUAAGUGAAAUCUGGAGUCAUGUUUCCACAUUUUCUCAAAAAAGGUUGAGAACAAACAAAUCGGGUAAAAGCCCGAAACUGACACCCAAAUCUUCACCUUCUGUCAGGAAGUCACCACAUACUCGUUCUAAAGAUCUGGAGACGCCCAAACGACGAGCGAGGGGCAGAUACACGGGCUUAAACAACAUUGCUGAUUCACCCGGGGAUGGAGAUAUUUUACAAGACAUCAUAUGGGACCCGGCAUCACCUACUCCUGCUAGAAGUGGGGAAUGGCCCAGCGACACCAGAGUUGUUGAGAUAUCAGACAUUGUCAAUCGGAUCGCCCCUAAGGAUGCCCAGCAUGUCUCUGUGGAUAGUCCUCUGCUCCAGUGGAUUGGGGACAGUGCUGUCCCCUGUACCCCAGAGGUACGCCCGCCCAAUGCAAGGAAGAAAUCCACUCGGAAAAGCUCAGUGGAGGACUUGAUGCAGCUGGCCAGGCAGUUUGACAUCAGCAUGCACCAGCAGGACAGAGAGAGGAAGAGUUCUGAACACAGGAACAAUAACAUAAACAACAACAGGUACGAGGAGGAACCCAAGGGCUCGACGACAAUGUCGUCAUCAGCCCAGCAGGUAGAGGCGGAGCUUAACGCUCUGUUCGACGGGCCGACGCAGCGAGUCACCGGACGGCUCAGCCAAGGGUCGACCGCCUCCACCUGUUCUCAGGAGGUCAAGGUUCAAGUUGGGGUCAGCCAUCUCACUACCGAUGACCUCGUCAAAGUGUCGGAGGUCAAGCCUGGCGGGGGAAGCACGUCUGGUUCAUCGGCUCGUACUGGUAAAGAGGAUGUGGGACAGUGGAAUGCCACGACAACUGUGGCGAAAGACGAGGACUUUGACUGGGAGGAUGACGACCUUCUCAAUGACCCUAUCGUGUUGGAGAUGACCCAGAAUCCUGAGGGGCUGAAAACGCUGUCCCCCAAACCCAGCAGCUCACUGACUCUGAGCACUGACAGAGACAACACACAGCUGCUAACAGAUACAGAAAAGACCCUACCACCCUCCUCUACUACCUCUAAUCCUAUCAGCCUGCCCUCUCACUCUGUCUGGAAGGGGACAAGCACACACCUUCAACCCUCAAACAGAGGUGGCCUCACUGGGCCGUGUCCUAAACCCAAGCCCGCCAGCAGAAACACUUUCCUGCUGGAGCCCAAACUUUGUUUCCAGGUGAAUAUGGCUCCGACAACCAGAGAAGCACCCAGACCGUUCCUCACUGUUGGAGAGGCCCAGCCUGAGAGGCCCGGUGUGUCUGCAGCCCUGGGGAGUAGGGGCCCCAGUAGAGAUUCUGCAGAAGGGGUGAGCACAGCCACAACUCCAACCUCCCGUGGAACCACAGCCCCAGACUCCGCUUUCAAAGACAUCUCAGAGGAGGACCUCCAGUCCCUGUUUGACUCUGAGUCGCUGUGGAACGACGACGAAGGUGACGAUGACGAACUGCUGUAUCAGGUGUGUGACGACGUGGAGAGGAUCUCCAACAGUCAGUCCGAUGGUGCCACCGCAACCACGGAUGCCACUGAGGUCCGCGUCCAAGAGAGCAAACCGAAAGCCACUCCAACCGCCCCUCUGGCUGCAGCGAGAGAGGGGUCUAUGACUAUGGAUAGGGCUGUAGGUGGUCCUAGCAGUAAACAGUCAACCACCUGCACGUCUGGCCGCUCCAACUCGGCACCAGGAGAUAGGAGUAGCACCCCUGUGCACUUUCAGAGAUGGAACAUUCCAGCGAAAGCAGGUAAUGUUUGGGUCGGACAUCAUACAGUCAUGUCCCAGAGCCAUCCAGGCAGCGGGGAGGGUCUGGACAAGUUUACCCAGCUGAGGGGUGCUCCAGCCCGGGGAACAUUUGGCCUAGGAUCCCUUGGAGUUAGAACCUUCCAAGCGGGGGACUCAAAGUCGGUCAUGCCACGGACAGUGUCGGCGAGUGCCCUCCCAAAGUUGAAUUCCCAUCAUGCAUCAUCGUUCAAGAGACAUCUGUCGGACUCGGCCGCCAUCGGCAACAAAGUGUUCGUCAGCAGUCCGGUGACGGGGCGAUGCACGGAGGAGGAGAUUGAGAGGAAGAAGCAGGAGGCCAUAGCCAGAAGAAGGACCAGGGAAACCUCCCUAAAAGCAGGGGGACUUCCUCUGUGACGAAGCAACUGGACACUAGAUUAAUACACAGUUAACCAGAAUACCUAUAGAGUAGCUCUCCUCUGCUAGUUGAUAUUUUUCCAGAUCCUUCCAUCAGCAGCACCAUACCAUCAGUGUUCUUCCAGAUCCUUCCAUCAGCAGCACCAUACCAUCAGUGUUCUUCCAGAUCCUUCCAUCAGCAGCACCAUACCAUCAGUGUUCUUCCAGAUCCUUCCAUCAGCAGCACCAUACCAUCAGUGUUCUUCCAGAACCUUCCAUCAGCAGCACCAUACCAUCAGCAGCACCAUACCAUCAGUGUUCUUCCAGAUCCUUCCAUCGGCAGCACCAUACCAUCAGUGUUCAGUAUUAAGGGUGCUGAGAAGAACCUAUAGAUGUAACCAUGUUUUUAGAAGCCGUGAUUGCUCUAUAGGCCGACCUCCGCCAACAAAUACCCUGUAGCCACAUUCCGCCAGCCUAUAUCUGACAACACCUUUUUGCUACAAUGGCUUUGGACUCCCUCCCCCGUCCCCAUAAUAGGUGGCUUGGGCUGUAAUGGUGUGUUGACACACACACACACACGGACACACACCCGAGCUGCUGUAAUAGUCUGCUGACAGGUUUAGGCUGAGGUAAUUGUGUUGCCGGGCUUUGCAGUGAGGUGCCAAAUCUCCCCCCGAGGAGAAUGAGGUGAGGCGUGGAGCUAGCGUAGGCUGUUAGCGUUUGAUCUGCUACUUUAUUGGCCAAUUGUUGUUAUAGAAACCAUGAAAGGAAGAUCCGCAAAUAACUUUUACAUCAGCACAUUGUCAUAACAGACACUCAACAGACUUCAAGGCAGCGUUUGUUGAGAUGAAUGUGGGUUUGUUGUUGCUCUGUUGUGUGGCUAGGAGGUAGCAGUAGAUGCUAGCUAGCUAGCCAAGACUACUUGUGUGCUCCUGAGUAAAAAUGUAUCCUGCUGUGCAGAGCCUCAGUUCAUUAUGUGUGGCAGGACUGCAUUAAGAGAACGGCUCUGAGUGGAUCUCCAGCUGUUCAGGUCUGCCAUUGAGUUUUUCCAUGAGACUAUCUCUGUCACUAUCUCUGUCACUCUCAAUUCAAUUUCAAUUCAAUGGCAUUCAGUUAUUGGCAUGAGAAACAUAUGUUUACAUUGCCAAAGCAAGUGAAAUAAAUAGACAAAAGUGAGAAGAAUCAAAUAGCAACAUUAAAAAAAAAACAUAUUUACACAUCAGACAAAAGAUAAAACUUUUUUUUUUUUUAAAUCGAACUAAAACAGUACAUCAUAUAACAAGAGUGUAUGACUGUAGCCCGACAGGUCCAGAUGCUACAGCUCGGUGGUACUGACCUCAGACGAGUCCCGGUGUGGCUUGUGGAGGUCGGAGAGCACCGUCGUGUUCAGGACAGCCUCGUAUUUCCAUAGAGUUUAGGCUUUUAUUCUGAAGGGUUAAAAUACACUACAUGGACGUUUUCAAUGGAACGCACAGAUAUUUACAUUGUAGCAGAUGCUCUUACAGGACCAUAACAUUGUGCAUACUGGUCCCUCUUGGGAAUUGAACCCACAACCCUAGUGUUGAAGUGCCAUGCUCUAUCAACUGAGUCACAAGGGACACACAAAUAAACCUGUCAGCUGACUUGGGGUAUGGAUGUCCCAAACUCCCCGUGACCUUUAUAAGGUCACGCCUGUCUCUAUGGUGAUAGUGGUAGCCAAUGAUGGGCUGCUGUGGUACUUUCAUCUCAUCUGUCUCACAUUAAGUCCAUGCAGCAAGGAGGAGUUCUCUCUCUUUCUCUCUCUGUCACACAAACAACACCACAUGUUCAUAGAUCUUCAUACACAGGCUGACACAGAGGACACUAGAACACAUGGAUGUACACAAUAAACACACACACACACACACACAUGCUCAUGAAUGCCAAGUGCAGAGUUGGCAUUCAUGAGUAAAGAAGAGACAGAGAGAAAAUGUUUGAACUACAGUUAUCUCCUUACAGGCAAAUUGUCAGUCCCCAGUCAAAUUACCCGAGCUGUUUCCAAAUGCAAAUAGGGUUUAUCAAAUAAACAAAGAAACUAAAGAUGCAUAUGAAGAGAUCUGGGGUUUUCGUGUAGCAGCUGUUGGUGGAAAAACGAAACAUUUCCAUCAACGUUUCUUUUCCGUUUUCCCACAACAGAGCAAGACACAGAUUAGUAUGUUUGAAGAUUCUGUUUUGAAAGUUGUAGUUUUUUAUACAUGGAACUAGCAGCACCCUCCUCGGAACUAGCAGCACCCUCCUCGGAACUAGCAGCACCCUCCUCGGAACUAGCAGCACCCUCCUCGGGCAGCGGGAUGCAUCCAAAUAGAGCAUAUCUCUGAAUGGAGCCCUUUUUCUCUUGGUUACCACAGGCCCUGUGUUGUGGAUUGAAUGUGGUUGGAAACUGUGAGAACCGGAAUGGAGGAUCCAUCCAUGUAUAACUAAAGCACUGUUCUUCUCUGUAAUGGAGGUUGUAAAUGUCCUGGUCUACAAGUGACAGCUUUUCACCACUAACUCUCAGUAGCCUGGGAAAAAACACACUGAAGGGAUGUAUUUUACUGAUAUAGAACUGUGUUCUGUCUACUGCGAUACCUCUGCUUCAUGUAAAAGUCUCUGAUCCCUGAUCAACUAGAU